rnacentral:sRNA from 1 species
GCUGGGCAUGGGGGAGCAUGCCUGUAGUCCUGGCUACUUGGGAGGUUGAGGUGGGAGGAUCACUUCUGCCCACAAGUUCAAGACCAGCCUGGGAAGCAUAGCAAGAACCCUCUCAA